ensembl:lncRNA
AACUUUCCAUGAGUUUGCUAGCAUGGAAGAUGAUAUUUCUUUGCCAGGGAAUGUACUGUGAUUAGCAGACAUCCUCAGGAAUGGAGAAUGGGUCUUAGUGUUGUAACCACUGCAGCUAAUUGCAGGCAAUCCAAACACAGUACCCACAGCAAGCUAUAUCAAAUGUGCAUGUUCUUUGUGCGUGGUGCUGCAAUGCAGAAAGCCUCCCAGCUCACCUCAGAGCAGUUGGCAGUAGCCAGUGACCUACUACUGGCUACCUUCAGUCAAAACUUAGUGGCUUGGCAGGAGUACAACUGAUGCUCAGUUGUAUGAAAAUGAUGUGCUAGGUACUCCCAAUCUUGGAAAUUUGUGUAAAUGUAUCUGAAGUGGCUCUACAUGUGUGGCAUGGAGCUAGCCCCACUGCUUCCAUAGCACCUAACAGCUGGGCCAAGGCUGCCUAAAACAGCUGGAAAUGCAACCACAUCAUUGACAAUAAAGAUUAUCUGUUAAAAUAAAUAUGAAUAUUAAUAAUUUGAUGGAGUGGCCUUCUUCAGAUUAAGAGCCAUUGGUGCUCUUAAUCUGAAGAAUCUUAAAAACUUGACCAGUAAAGAUAUUCUUCAGUACAAUAAUGCAUAAUCCCAUUUAGGAUAUACAACCUUUUUUUUUUUUUUUUGGCUGCUUCAUGUAGCAAGUAAAAGAAAAUUGUUUACAGGUUCAUCUUUUUUUUUUUCUCUAGACCAUAGUUGGUAUAAGGAGUUAGUAUUUUAGUGUCUAAAAUGAUUUGAUUAUAAAUAUUGCAAAAACCUAUGGUUCUGUAAUUCUACAGUGAUGCCUGAUAUUUCUUACUCCAGUCAUUUUCCCUAGAGAUAAAUAAUGAGGACUUAUAUACUCCUGCCAACUUUUAAAACUACAGGAUGUUUUGUAGAAGACAACGUGCAGGAUCCUGAGCAAUUUGCCUCUGAAGUCAGGGAGCAUCUUCGCAAUGGAAGUUUACUGUAGCUCAAACAGGACUCCAAGGCAGGCUAAUGAUAAUGUGCAGAUGAUGUUUGUGCCACACCAAUUUGCAAAUGAUUGUUGUCAGUAAGUUACUCAACUAUGAACUGUCAGCCUGUGGUGGUUCCCCCAGGUGGGUGGAAACUGAAAUUUAUACCAAAUAAUCAUGUUCACGUUGACAAAUAUAACGGAAUCAAUGAUGGCUGCAGUGCCCUUUCAAGACCAACCAACGCAAUAGAUUUAAGUAAUGUUCCCUAUCCCAACCUUUAAAAGUUGGCACGCUAGAAGGAUAAAGCACUCCAGAGCCUGGUACUAUAGGUACAGUCGCACAGUGCAGCUCCUGCUGUCUGACAAAAUGAAUACCACUUUCAUAACUAUGUUGGAUUCCUCUUUUCAAGCAAAAUUAAUAGAUGUGAUGUUUCCACGAAUGGCUUUGUGCUGACUAUAUGGAAAUAGCCAAGGGUGGUUUUAUAAAUAUUUUUUUAGAACUUGGGACAAGGCUUUCUCUCCCCAUUGUUCUUAACAGAAUUUGGCAGAGCUAAACCCACAUAAAAUAUUACUGAAAAUUCUCACGUUCCACAGCUGAGUUGUUACUGCAUAUUGGUCUCUGUAGUAUUUAAUUACUAAUUGAUCCACAUGGUGGAAAACAGAAUUAAAUAGAAUACUUUUUGUUCUUUUGAACUGAAUAUUGUAUCUCAGUGGCACUGACUAAAAUAAAUUUCCUUCUUAUAUCUUUCAUAGUUCUACAAAAAUAUCAUAAAAUGUUGUUGACCUCAUUUAUGGAUUUUCCCAGUAAGCCUAGAAAUACCUGCUGUAAUAUGGCACAGCAAUAAAAAGUAGGACUUUGAUGGACGGUGUUGUUUUCCUAUGGCAUCAAGUGUGAAAUCUUGAAGAAGAACAGAAGUUGUAAGAGUUUUAAUAUAUAUAACUAUUAAACUCUGAUUUCAUAUAAAAAUUCCUUUUCCAUUAUUGCCCUGAAGUGAAUAUUUAAUUGGCAGCCUGAUUUUCAGCAGGCAGCGAAGCAUACAGGUGAAUACAAAAAGGAAUUGCUUUCAUGCUGUUACCAACUACUGGUAUAUGAUUCCUCUCCAGGCUGACUCAUAUUUGCUUCAGCUGUCAGUGGAGUGUUCCUUCCUGUUUCCAGUGGCUAGCAAGCACCAAACCCACAGAUCUUUCUCUUCUGCUCCAGUCACCAGAGAAGCAGAUUGUUUCACAUGGACUGUGGUUUAUCAUCAUUUCAGCAAGUACUCGGUCUGUAAGACCCAUCACCAAUAUUUUCCCCUACAAUUCUUUUUAUCAGGUAAGAUAACUGCUACGGAGCUGUUCAAAAUGAAUUUUAUGGCAUUCUUGAUGGGUACUUCACCUCAUGUGCUAUUAGAACAAUGCACAAAAUGUUUUUAAGGAACCUAAGAGGAUAUAGGAUCUUAGAGUUACAUGGCUAUUGGAAAUGGGAUGCUAGAAUUGCAUAGAUAUUGGAAAUAGCACCUGAGGGUCAUUUCACUAACAUGCAUGGCAGAAAAGAAUAGUUGCUGACUCCUGGCUAAACAAAAGCAGAAAUAUUAUUCAGGAUGUUUGCUAUAUACAUCAUUGUCAACAGCAUCUAACAUACAAGAAAAACAGAUCCACCCUUAUCCUUGCUGUUCUCUGCCCUACUUCCUCACUGCUCUUCCCCAUCAUGUGGCUGAAUAGCAAGCACCCACCAUUGGAUGUCACGUAUGCACAGGGGCGGGAGGUGUUGCGUACCUCAGGUCAUGCAUUGGGACCC